AGUUAUUGGCCGCUUAGCUCAUCGAUUUCGGUCGUGACAUUUGGUAUCGACCCGACCUAGCAUUUGGGCAGGGGUGAGAGGGCUCGGUAGGAAAGGGCUACCCGUGGAUGGAGUCGAGAACUCAUCAAUGCGCAUGGAGCCACCAAUCGAAGUUAAACCUCACAUGCACCGUGCUAGGGUUCGACCGAUAUAUGUCCGGCCUUGACGAGGACGCCAAGCUAAUUGAGUUGGGGAUAAUGUAACAUCCCAUUAGUCCCACAUCGAAGUGGGGGAAUGUGUGAUUAGCUUAUAAGGGCCUCGAUGAGUGUACCACGCUACCUCCUUUUUAAGCAUUUUGGUCCGUGGUUGCAAGGACCAAAAUGGAGUUAUUGGCCGAUUAGCUCAUCGGACUCGGGUCGUGGAUGAAAGAAAGCGCCAAAUUACCCAAUCCCGACACGGGAGGUAGUGACAAUAAAUAACAAUACUCGGGCUCUUCGAGUUUGGUAAUUGGAAUGAGUACAAUCUAAAUCCCUUUAACGAGGAUCCAUUGAGGGCAAGUCCGGUGCCAAAGCGGCCAUGUAAUUCCAGCCCAAUAGCGUAUAUUUAAGUUGUUGCAAAUUAAAAAAGCUCAGAAGUUGGACUUUGGGGACGGGUCGGUCGGUCCUUUCGCAUGGUGUAACCGGCCGUCCCCAUCCUUCUUCGUCGGCGAUGCGUGCUGGCCUUAACUGGUCGGGUCGCCUCCUCCCGCAUCUGUUACUUUGAAGAAAUUAGAGUGUUUCAAAGCAAGCCCACGCCUGGAUACAUUAGCAUGGGAUAACAUCACGUGAUUUCGGUCCUAUUGUGUUGGCCUUGGGGAUCGGAGUAAUUAUUAAGAGGGACAGUUUGGGGGCAUUCGUAUUUCAUAGUCGAGGUGAAAUUCUUGGAUUUAUGAAAGACGAACCAUCGCGAAAAGCAUUUGCCAAGGAUGUUUUCAUUAAUCAAGAACGAAAGUUGGGGCCAAGACGAUCGAUACCGCCCUAGUCUCAACCAUAAACGAUGCCGACCAGGGAUCGGCGGAUGUUGCUCUUAGGACUCGGCCUGGCACCUUAUGAGAAAUCAGUCUUUGGGUUCCGGGGGAGUAUGGUCGCAAGGCUGAAACUUAAAGGAAUUGACGGAAGGGCACCACCAGGGAGUGGAGCUCGCGCUUAAUUUGACUCAACACACGGGGAAAUUUACGGGUCCAGACAAAGCAAGGAUUGAUGAUCGAGCUCUUUCUUGAUUCUAUGGGUGGUGGUGCAUGGCCGUUCAUAGUUGGUGGAGUGAUUUGUGCGGUUAAUUCGAUAACGAACCGAGACCUCACCGCUAACUAGCUAAUGGCGGAGGCAUCCCUCCGCCGACAGCUUCUUAGAGGGACUAUGGCGUUUAGGCCACGGAAGUUUGAGGCAAUAACAGUCUGUGAUGCCCUUAGAUGUUCGGGCGACGCCGCGUGCUACCGAUGUAUUCAACGAAGUCUAUAGCCUUGGCCGGCAGGCCCGGGUAAUCUUUGAAAAUUUCAUCUUGAUGGGGAUAGAUCAUUGCAAUUGUUGGUCUUCAACGAGGAAUUCCUAGUAAGCGUGAGUCAUCAGCUCGCGUUGACUACGCCCCUGCCCUUUGUACACACCGCCGUCGCUCCCUACCGAUUGAAUGGUCCGUGAAGUGUUGGAUCGAGGCGACGGGGCUGUUCGCCCGCCCGCGACAUCGCGAGAAGUCCACUGAACCUUAUCAUUUAGAGGAAGGAGAAGUCGUAACAAAGGUUUCCGUGGGUGAACUGCGGAAG
rnacentral:rRNA from 1 species